UACGUAGGGUGCAAGCGUUAAUCGGAAUUACUGGGCGUAAAGCGUGCGCAGGCGGCUAUGCAAGACAGAUGUGAAAUCCCCGGGCUCAACCUGGGAACUGCAUCUGUGACUGCAUCGCUGGAGUACGGUAGAGGGGGAUGGAAUUCCGCGUGUAGCAGUGAAAUGCGUAGAUAUGCGGAGGAACACCGAUGGCGAAGGCAAUCCCCUGGACCUGUACUGACGCUCAUGCACGAAAGCGUGGGGAGCAAACAGG
rnacentral:rRNA from 1 species